UGUUUGUCUGUUUGUCUGUUUGUCUGUUUGUCUGUUUGUCUGUUUGUCUGUUUGUCUGUUUGUCUGUUUGUCUGUUUGUCUGUUUGUCUGUUUGUCUGUUCGUCUGUGCGCGCUAAUCUCAGAAACGGCUGAUCCGAGUUGGAUACGGUUUUCACGAAUAUAUUGUGGGAUGCUUAAAUUUACAUUUAGUGUUUGUUUCAUGUCAAUCGGUUCAUAAAUAAAAAAGUUAUGUCAAAUUAAAGAAUCACGUCGAACAUUCUAUGUUUAUACCAUUAAUCUCCGCAACUAUUUGACGGAUUUGGUUGAAAUUUGGUACAGAUAUAGUUUAGAACCUUAGAAAGGACAUAGAUAUAUUUUUAUUUCAAAAAUCAAAAAAUAAAAAUAAGAAAUAAAUUAUUUAUAAAUAAUUCUAUGUCGAUCGUUACACGACUUCGGUUCAUGUUAUUGUUUUAAUUCAUCGAAAAAAAGUAAAUAAAUAGUAAAAAGGUAUGAAAAAAAUAAUAUCAAUAUAAUUAAACUUUUAGUACAAAGAAAAUGCCCGAACGGAGUAUAAAUAAAUAAUCCAAGUUGUCUUUAUCCUCGAUAGAUGGCGUUGGGAUCGAAAUAGAUCGCGCUAUGGUUUCGUUACAUUCAUUUGGUUGGGUAUCGGCCGAGCGCUUCGGUACUAUCGUAGAAAAAGUGUAUUAUCAGUCGUAUGAUUAUUUGUCUGUAGUGGUCCUGCUGUUUCGUA